rnacentral:rRNA from 1 species
UACGAAGGGGGCUAGCGUUGCUCGGAAUUAUUGGGCGUAAAGAGCUCGUAGGCGGUUUGUCGCGUCUGCUGUGAAAACUCGGGGCUUAACUCCGGGCCUGCAGUGGGUACGGGCAGACUAGAGUGCGGUAGGGGAGACUGGAAUUCCUGGUGUAGCGGCGAAAUGCGCAGAUAUCAGGAGGAGCACCGGUGGCGAAGGCGGGUCUCUGGGCCGUAACUGACGCUGAGGAGCGAAAGCGUGGGGAGCGAACAGG